rnacentral:tRNA from 1 species
AUCAUUGUAGCAAAUUGAUAUGCGAUGAAUUUAAGCUUCANAGAUAGUUUUACUCUUUGAUAAUAUUA